GAUGAACGCUAGCGGGAGGCCUAAUACAUGCAAGUCGAACGGUAAGGUCCCUUCGGGGAUACACGAGUGGCGGACGGGUGCGUAACGCGUACGAAACAUACCUUCAACAGGGAGAUACCUCCGGGAAACUGGAAAUAAUACCCCAUAGUAUUGUGACAUCGCAUGAUGUUACAAUUAAAGCUUUGGCGGUUGAAGAUUGUCGUGCGUCUGAUUAGCUAGUUGGUGAGGUAACGGCUCACCAAGGCGACGAUCAGUAGCUGGUCUGAGAGGAUGAUCAGCCACACUGGAACUGAGACACGGUCCAGACUCCUACGGGAGGCAGCAGUAGGGAAUAUUGGACAAUGGGCGAAAGCCUGAUGCAGCAACGCCGCGUGAGGGACGACGGCCU
rnacentral:rRNA from 1 species